AAAGGUUGACCUCGGAUCAGGUAGGAAUACCCGCUGAACUUAAGCAUAUAAUAA
rnacentral:rRNA from 1 species